AACAAGCUAGCGAUAUUCCAACUCGCCAGUAGGUGGCAGUAAUAUGGCAUCCCUCCCUGUCUCGCCAUUGACUACAGUACGUACUAGAAGCAGCGGCAAUGGUCGAGUGGGUGUGGUCGGCCGGAAAGGAGGAAGAAAGGACUAGAACCGGAUGGUAACGAAGUGCUAUAUGGGAAGCAGCAAAGGUUUACAAACGUUAUGUCACCGCUAUGGCGGAGUUCUUGUAUGCCUGACAAAUAUUCAACAGGGCGAUGGAAACCUUGUCUGCGUUGAGCAGGGACCUGGGACCGGAAAGGAGGAGCAGAAAAGGAAGGCUGAGAAAAGUUGGAUCUCUCAGGAGCCUGAGCCAGAGAUUGAGUCUUCACCGACACUGAAGAAGGCUUCGAGGUUGACAUCGAUACCGAUGGUGAUUUAAGCUUGGAAGCCUUGGUAGAAGACCUUGGCAAUGGUGUAGGAGCCAACAGGAUGGAAGACUCAGAUUGAGACGGUG